rnacentral:rRNA from 1 species
GGUGAACGCUGGCGGCGUGCUUAAGACAUGCAAGUCGAACGCAGUCUUCGGACUGAGUGGCGCACGGGUGAGUAACACGUAACUGACCUACCCCCAAGUCGCGGAUAACUGGCCGAAAGGUCCGCUAAUACGUGAUGUGAUGUCCCCUUUCUGGGGGGCCAUUCAAGGUUUACUGCUUGGGGAUUGGGUUGCGUUCCAUCAGCUAGUUGGCGGGGUAAAGGCCCACCAAGGCAACGACGGAUAGCCGGCCUGAGAGGGUGGCCUGCCACAGGGGCACUGAGACACGGGUCCCACUCCUACGGGAGGCAGCAGUUAGGAAUCUUCCACAAGGGGCGAAAGCCUGAUGGAGCGACGCCGCGUGAGGGAUGAAGGUUCUCGGAUCGUAAACCUCUGAAUCAGGGACGAAAGACGCGUAAGCGGGAUGACGGUACCUGAGUAAUAGCACCGGCUAACUCCGUGCCAGCCGCCGCCGUAA